rnacentral:rRNA from 1 species
GACGAACGCUGGCGGCGUGCCUAACACAUGCAAGUCGAACGGAAAGGCCCUGCUUUUGUGGGGUUCUCGAGUGGCGAACGGGUGAGUAACACGUGAGUAACCCGCCCUUGUCUUUGGGAGAACAUCAGGAAACUGGGGCUAAUACCGGAGAGGAGCUCCUGCUGCAUGGUGGGGGUUGGAAAGUUUCGGCGGUUGGGGAUGGACUCGCGGCUUAUGAGCUUGUUUGUGGGGUAGUGGCUUACCAAGGGUUUGACGGGUAGCCGGCCUGAGAGGGUGACCGGGCACAAUGGGACUGAGGGAGGCACCAGACGCCUACGGGAGGCAGCAGUGGAAAGUAUGGCACAAUGGCGGGAAGCCUGAGACGGAGACGCCCGGUGCGUGAUGCUGGGCUUCGGGUUGUGAACCGCUUUGGACUGUGACGAAGCGUGAGUGACGGUAAUGGGUCAAGAAGCACCGGCUAACUACGUG